CCAAUAGCGUAUAUUAAAGUUGUUGCAGUUAAAAAGCUCGUAGUUGAACUUCAGGCCUGUCCAGAUGGUCCGCCUUAAUUGGUGUGUACUGUCCUUGGGUGGGUCCUACCUUCUGGCGAAGCGGCAUGGCCUUAAUUGGUUGUGUUGGGGAACCAGGACUUUUACUGUGAAAAAAUUAGAGUGUUCAAAGCAGGCAAAUAUGCUCGAAUACAUUAGCAUGGAAUAAUGGAAUAGGACGAUGGUUCUAUUUUGUUGGUUCUAGGACCGUUGUAAUGAUUAAUAGGGAUAGUUGGGGGCAUUAGUAUUCAAUUGUCAGAGGUGAAAUUCUUGGAUUUAUUGAAGACUAACUACUGCGAAAGCAUUUGCCAAGGAUGUUUUCAUUAAUCAAGAACGAAAGUUAGGGGAUCGAAGACGAUCAGAUACCGUCGUAGUCUUAACCAUAAACUAUGCCGACUAGGAAUCGGGCGAUGUUGACAAAAUGACUCGCUCGGCACCUCAUG
rnacentral:rRNA from 1 species